GUGGCUCCUGUCUUAGGUCAUUCCUCCAAUGUCACAGAUUCAACCAUGGCACUCUGGCUUGAUGCGGUGCUGUGGCCCUGUGGAGGGCCUCAUGUCCUGUCUUCUGCCCCUGUGUCUUACUGUGCUGGCCCCAAGCUGUCUCCUGUCUCUCCGAAGCCAUGCAAGGAUGACACUUGCCAGACGAGAGCUCUUCAGUAUGGGCCCUCUGGUCCUCAUUUCUUUGUGACUUUUUCAUAAGUUCUGCCAACUUCCACCAACCCCAGUGUCCAUGAGAGUCUUGCAUAUUUCUUGCUAGGUUGUCUAGGGCCUCACAGUCCUUAUGCUGGGGCUUCGUCCCCAUUUCUGAUGGGUUUCAGUGUUGACCCUGGCCCGGUAGCCUUCCUGGAUUUUAGUACUGCAUUGUGUCUAGCUUCUUCACCAUUUGUGAAUCAGGACAAGUCCUUCCCCUUCUACCUCCCUGCCUUCCAUGUUCAGGCACACUGAGCCUACCCCCUCCACAGGAAAGUGGAUUUUGCGGUACUUUCUUCUGUGGCCCACUAACAUGGCUGGUGAUGCCAACACUGUACCUUGGCCAUUGUCAGGGCGAUGGGUGAAGCCUGUAACGGUGUGGAGUCUAUCAGAGUGGCAGUCUUGCCAGGGAUAUGUCUGGGCUGAGAAGAGACAUCAGGGAACUGACUGCCUAUCAUCCUCCCCUUUCUCUCCUAGAGAGUGUGGAGAUGGCAGCCCAGAGCCAGGAAUGCCAACAGUCCCUGGCCUACACUUCGUGUCCCAUCCCGCUCACAUCUCAAGAACAGCUCAGAGAUUUGCUCAUUUGUUGGUGCUAGAGACGGAGCCCAGUGCCAUGCACACACUAGGCCAGCAGAGCCCACCGACUUCCUGAUGCUCUUUGAGGGCAGCACCAGUGGGAGAAGAAGGGUGGCCAGUCUUAGCAAGGCAUCCAGUGAGAAGGAAGCCACGUGGAACGUCCUGGAUGAGCAGCCCAGGGGCUUGGCUUUGCCAGCCAGUGCUCAGAGUCCCAGCACCCUUGACUCUGCCUUGGGCCCACGGAGGAAGGAGUGUCCUCUGGCACCCAGCUUCACCGCUAACAACAGGAGCAACAAAGGUGCUGUGGGCAACUGUGUCACCACCAUGGUGCAUAACCACUAUGCCUCCUCGAAGAUGGUGUCGCCCCCCAAGAGCUCCAACCAGACAGCCCCCUCCCUCAACAAUAUUGUGAAGGCAGCAGCCCGUGAGGGAGGUGAGGGCAGCGACUUGGGGAAGCCUCGGAAGAAUUUGUCCAGUGCCAGUCAGUCCGCUCGAGGCACUACCGGCCUGCUGAGGCGGAGGGAGGUGACUGAAGAGGAAGCCGAGAGGUUCAUCCAUCAGGUAAACCAGGCUGCAGUUACCAUCCAGCGCUGGUACCGCUGCCAGGUACAGAGGCGCCGAGCGGGAGCAGCAGCCCUCGAGCACCUGCUAGCGUCCAAGCGAGAGGGGCAGAGGCAACGGUUGGGAGGUGGGAACCUUCUGGAACUGCACCGGCAGGAGGAGGCAGCAAGGAAGAAGGCCCGGGAGGAAAAGGCUCGUCAGGCCAGGCAGGCAGCCAUUCAGGUACUACAACAGAAACGAGCCCAGAAGGCAAGUGAGGCCGAACACAGACGGCCUAAGGACAGACCAGAGACCCGAGCACCGGAGCAGCCUCGACCCAUGCAGGAGCCAGGCUGCGUCACACACCCUAAGGCCAACAACGCUGGUGCCAGCAUCUACCCCACAGGCCCCGCGGACCCCUGCCCUCCUGCCUCUGAAUCAUCUCCAGAGCAAUGGCAGUCUCCAGAGGACAAGCCACAGGACAUCCAUUCCCAGGGGGAAGCCAGACAAGACCUGGCAGUGUCAGGCUCUUCCAGGGGCAAGGCCAGGGCCAGAGCAACCCUGGACGAUCUUCUGGACACACUGAAGCUGCUGGAGGAGGAGCCAGAGCCGCUGCCUCACCCCAAGGCCUACCAUAAGGACAGAUAUGCCUGGACUGACGAGGAAGAGGAUGCCAACUCCCUGACAGCUGACAACCUGGAGAAGUUUGGGAAACUCAGCGCAGCCCCUGGCCCCCCUGAUGACGGGACCCUGCUCUCGGAGGCCAAGCUUCAGAGCAUUAUGACCUUCCUGGAUGAGAUGGAGAAGUCAGGACAGGAGCGGCCAGCACCCUGGCGGGAGAGCCUGGUGCUAGAGGCGGGCUCAGGAUCCGAGGGAAGCACGUCUGUGAUGCGGCUGAAGCUGGAGCUGGAGGAGAAGAAACAGGCCAUGGCUCUGCUGCAGAGAGCUCUGGCGCAACAGCGUGACCUCACUGUUCGACGUGUUAAGGAGACAGAGAAGGAGCUGACCCGGCAGCUGCGGCAGCAGAAGGAGCAGUAUGAGGCCACCAUCCAACGGCACUUGUCCUUCAUUGACCAGCUGAUUGAAGACAAGAAAGUUCUGAGCGAGAAGUGUGAGGCAGUGGUGGCCGAGCUGAAGCACGGGGACCAGCGGUGUCGGGAGCGCGUGGCCCAGAUGCAGGAGCAGCACGAACUGGAGAUCAAGAAACUCAAAGAACUCAUGAGUGCCACCGAGAAAAUCCGGCGUGAGAAGUGGAUCAAUGAGAAAACGAAGAAGAUCAAGGAAAUCACAGUCAGAGGUCUAGAGCCUGAGAUCCAGAAACUAAUUGCCAAGCACAAGCAAGAGGUGAGGCGGCUCAGGGGCCUGCACGAGGCUGAGCUGCAGCAGCGUGAAGAGCAGGCCGCACAGCGCCACCUGCGUCAGGCGGAAGAGCUGCGGCAGCACCUGGACCGGGAGAGGGAGGUGCUGGGCCAGCAGGAGCGGGAGCGCGCCCAGCAGAGGUUUGAGCAGCACCUGGAGCAGGAACAGAGGGCACUGGAGCAGCAGCGGCGGCGACUCUACAAUGAGGUGGCCGAGGAGAAGGAGCGACUGGGCCAGCAGGCAGCCAGGCAGCGGGCAGAGUUGGAGGAGCUGAGGCAGCAGCUGGAGGAGAGCAGCGCGGCCCUGACUCGGGCCCUGAGAGCCGAGUUCGAGAGGAGCCGAGAGGAGCAGGAGCGGAGGCACCAGAUGGAGCUGAAGGCCCUGAAGGACCAGCUGGAAGCUGAGAGACAGGCGUGGGUGGCCAGCUGUGCCAAGAAGGAGGAAGCAUGGCUGCUGACCAGGGAACGUGAGCUGAAGGAAGAGAUCCGAAAAGGCCGAGACCAGGAGAUUGAGUUGGUCAUCCACCGGCUGGAGGCCGAUAUGACACUGGCCAAGGAGGAGAGCGAGAGAGCAGCCGAGAGCCGUGUGAAGCGUGUGCGUGAUAAGUAUGAAACAGAGCUCUCGGAGCUGGAGCAGUCGGAGCGGAAGCUUCAGGAGCGGUGCUCGGAGCUGAAAGGCCGCCUGGGGGAGGCCGAAGGGGAGAAGGAGCGGCUGCAGUCCCUAGUAAGGCAGAAGGAGAAGGAACUAGAAGACCUGCGGGCGGUGAACACACAGAUGUGCAGUGAGCGGGCCAGCCUGGCCCAGGUGGUACGGCAGGAGUUUGCAGAGCAGCUGGCAGCCUCCCAGGAGGAGACCCAGAGGGUGAAAGUGGAGCUCGCAGAGCUGCAGGCCCGCCAGCAGGUGGAGCUAGACGAGGUGCACCGGAGGUGGGUGCUCAGCACUGCAGGUAGGGGCACAGGAGGCCAGUCCUGCCUCCUCCUGUCUCUUCCAAAUAAGCAGUGUAGCCCACGGGCAGGAGCUCACAUGGUUUCCGUCUGUGUGCCAGGAAGGCUAGGCGUUUCCCCUGGGCGUCACUUAGCUCUGGGGCUGGGAAAGACCCACAUGUGCUUCUCCGAGGAGGUGGGCAGGGUUCUGGCCGGAACAGGUGAUGUUCAGCAGAGAGCCAGCGGCAGAGAGGGUGACAGUAGCCACCCAGAGUCUCCUUAGUCCUUCCAAGGGACUACCCAGGGCUGUGGCUGCCUGCCUGGCUGCCUCUGUGCCUAACAUGAGAAUGAGACUUCCACCCUGCCACAACCCCGUCUCUUCCAAAAACCACCUUAGGGUCUGGUUGUCAUGGAGGCAGUGGCCCAGGGCAGGCUGCUCCGGUCAAGGUGGAGCAGGGCUGAGGCUGGGUGGUAAGAGGCCACCCUUCAGGCUGACCUGGGACUGAAGGUGGGGCUGUGCAGAAGCCGAAUGCCCAUCACUGCAGGGUGAAGACGGCUCUAGCGAGGAAGGAGGCAGCCGUGAACAGUCUCCGCAAACAGCAUGAGGCUGCUGUGAAGCGGGCGGACCACCUAGAGGAACUGCUGGAGCAACACAAAGGGUCAUCUCUGAGUUCUAAGUGACAUCGCCCUUGGGAUGACGAGCCAAGCCUGAGGCUGACACUCAGUCCUGCGGCUGGUGUCCAGGUCACGCUCCAAGACACAGGGCUAAGGGUAGGACAGCAGCUGGUGUGUGAGAGGCACCAUGGAGCCCAGUGCCCGGGACGUUACUGUCAGCAUGCCUGCAGCUGUUCUAUAGUAAAAUGGUUAGGUGGCUUUUUUUAACUGCU